rnacentral:misc_RNA from 1 species
UUAAAUAAUUUAUAUUUUUACUCAGACUACAAUCUUCAGACAGAGUUCUAAGGUGUCUUCGGCGGGCACGGGCCCGGGGGCAGAAGCCCCCCGGCGGCCGUGAGGCGGGCCCGCCAAAGCAACAAGGUAUAAUAAACACGGGUGGGAGGUUGAAUUCAGAGAAUUCUCGCUCGGUAAUGAUCCUUCCGCAGGUUCACCUACGGAAA